rnacentral:rRNA from 1 species
UCAUGGCUCAGGACGAACGCUGGCGGCGUGCUUCAUACAUGCAAGUCGAACGAGAAGCUGACUUCGGUCAGUGGAAAGUGGCGGACGGGUGAGUAAUAUGUAGAGAAUCUGCCCUUGAGUGGGGGACAACAGAGGGAAACUUCUGCUAAUACCCCAUAUGAGCUAACUUGAAAUAGUUAUCUUGAAAACUCCGGUGCUCAAGGAUGAGUCUGCAUCUGAUUAGCUAGUUGGCGGUGUAAUGGACCACCAAGGCGACGAUCAGUAGCUGGUUUGAGAGGAUGAUCAGCCACAAUGGGACUGAGACACGGCCCAUGCUCCUACGGGAGGCAGCAGUAGGGAAUUUUGCGCAAUGGGCGAAAGCCCUGACGCAGCAACGCCGCGUGAACGAUUAAGCCCUUCGGGGUGUAAAGUUCUGUCAGUAGGGACGAAUUUUGACGGUACCUACAGAGGAAGCACCGGCUAACUCCGUGCCAGCCGCCGC